AGCUACAUAGCUCAGGGGAAGAGUGAGUCAAUUGCAAUCUGUAAAAUUGCCUGUAGCAUCGCACUAACAACCAUAAAGGCGCCGGGCUCAUAACCCGGAGGUCGCUGGAUCGAAACCAGUUGUAGCUA